rnacentral:rRNA from 1 species
UUCUAGUUUUUAAAUUAGUAAACUCUGCUCAGUGAAAGAAGUAAAUAGCCGCAGAAUCUUAACUGUGCUAAGGUAGCAUAAUCAUUUGUUCUAUAAUAGAGAACUGGGAUGAAAGAGUCAACAACAUUUAGACUUUUUAGGUUUGGGUUUAGAAAUUGAUAUCUAUAUUUAAAAGUAUAGAUAGGUUAGAAAGACGAUAAGACCCUAUAAAACUUUAUUAUGAAGAUUUAGCUAUAAAAUAGGAAGUAGAAUUUCUUAAUAGUUAAGCUGGGGCGGUAAUUAAAAAACUUUAAUAAAUUAAACAUAUAUUAAUGAAAUAUUAUAUCUUUUAUGGAUUUAGAGUUACUUUAGGGAUAACAGCGUAAUUUUAAAUAAUGGCGCUUAUUAUUUAAAGACUUACGACCUCGAUGUUGAAUUGAAGGGCCAUUUUAAAUAAAUGUGGAGGUCUGUUCGACCUUUAAUUCUUC